AUUGAACGCUGGCGGCAUGCCUAACACAUGCAAGUCGAACGGUAACGCGAGGAGCUUGCUCCUUGGCGACGAGUGGCGGACGGGUGAGUAAUGCUUAGGAAUCUGCCCAGUAGUGGGGGACAACUCGGGGAAACUCGAGCUAAUACCGCAUACGCCCUACGGGGGAAAGCGGGGGAUCUUCGGACCUCGCGCUAUUGGAUGAGCCUAAGUCGGAUUAGCUUGUUGGUGAGGUAAAAGCUCACCAAGGCGACGAUCCGUAGCUGGUCUGAGAGGACGAUCAGCCACACUGGGACUGAGACACGGCCCAGACUCCUACGGGAGGCAGCAGUGGGGAAUAUUGGACAAUGGGGGCAACCCUGAUCCAGCAAUGCCGCGUGUGUGAAGAAGGCCUGCGGGUUGUAAAGCACUUUCAGUAGAGAAGAAAAGCUUACAGUUAAUACCUGUGAGUCUUGACGUAACCUACAGAAGAAGCACCGGCUAACUCCGUG
rnacentral:rRNA from 1 species